rnacentral:rRNA from 1 species
GGGCGAUAACGCAAGUGGCGCACGGGUGCGUAACGCGUGGAAACCUACCAUUCCGUACGGAAUAACGAUUGGAAACGAUCGCUAAUACCGUAUACGCCCUGCGGGGGAAAGGUCCGCCGCGGAAUGAGGGGUCCGCGUCCGAUUAGCUUGUUGGUGAGGUAAAGGCUCACCAAGGCGAUGAUCGGUAGCUGGUCUGAGAGGAUGAUCAGCCACACUGGGACUGAGACACGGCCCAGACUCCUACGGGAGGCAGCAGUGGGGAAUAUUGGACAAUGGGGGCAACCCUGAUCCAGCAAUGCCGCGUGUGUGAUGAAGGCCCUAGGGUUGUAAAGCACUUUCAAUGGUGAAGAUGAUGACGGUAGCCAUAGAAGAAGCCCCGGCUAACUUCGUGCCAGCAGCCGCGGUAAUACGAAGGGGGCGAGCGUUGUUCGGAAUUACUGGGCGUAAAGGGCGCGCAGGCGGUCAAUCCAGUCAGGUGUGAAAGCCCCGGGCUUAACCUGGGAAUUGCACUUGAUACUGAUUGACUAGAANACGGAAGAGGGCAGUGGAAUUCCCAGUGU